rnacentral:rRNA from 1 species
UACGUAGGGGGCAAGCGUUGUCCGGAUUUAUUGGGCGUAAAGAGCGUGUAGGCGGCCAUGUAGGUCCAUUGUGAAAACUCGAGGCUCAACCUCGAGACGCCGAUGGAAACCAUGUGGCUAGAGUCCGGAAGAGGAGAGUGGAAUUCCUGGUGUAGCGGUGAAAUGCGCAGAUAUCAGGAAGAACACCCGUGGCUAAGGCGGCUCUCUAGUACGGUACUGACGCUGAGACGCGAAAGCGUGGGGAGCGAACAGG